UUUCUGUAGGGGAGCCAGAGAGGCAAAACAGAUGUACCAAGAAGUUCAGUAACAUCCCGAUCGCGUUACCAGAAGUCACAAAGCCGGGAUGUCAGAGUCUGAGUUACUAAUGACUACUCUACGUUGACAUUGGUGUUGAAAUAGAAAUGAUAACGAGGCGCAUACUAUUGACAGGCAGAGGGACAGUGAGUGCGAGUUCCUGAGGUGGUGCUGUUCUGUUCGAAUCACGGAGCACAAACACCUAAUGCUAGGAGGGCGUCUGGAUCUACCGUAUCCCCUGCGCUUAGUUACUAGGCUGGGUGAGUGAGGGGUGUCAAGGGGAAGGUCAUCCAGAUGGACACUAGAAUUCUGGUCUCCCGGCCCCCAAGGCAGCGCGCACUUCCUCUAUUAUUCCAGAAUCAACCAAAGCCGUCGGAGGGUUCAGAGUGAAUGCUAUUG
rnacentral:lncRNA from 1 species